GAUGAACGCUGGCGGCGUGCUUAACACAUGCAAGUCGAACGGGAAGGCCAGUGCUUGCACUGGUACUCGAGUGGCGAACGGGUGAGUAACACGUGGGUGAUCUGCCCUGCACUUCGGGAUAAGCCUGGGAAACUGGGUCUAAUACCGGAUAGGACAAUGGUUUGGAUGCCGUUGUGGAAAGUUUUUUCGGUGUGGGAUGAGCUCGCGGCCUAUCAGCUUGUUGGUGGGGUAAUGGCCUACCAAGGCGUCGACGGGUAGCCGGCCUGAGAGGGUGUACGGCCACAUUGGGACUGAGAUACGGACCAGACUCCUACGGGAGGCAGCAGUGGGGAAUAUUGCACAAUGGGCGCAAGCCUGAUGCAGCGACGCCGCGUGGGGGAUGACGGCCUUCGGGUUGUAAACUCCUUUCGCUAGGGACGAAGCGUAUUUGUGACGGUACCUGGAGAAGAAGCACCGGCUAACUACGUG
rnacentral:rRNA from 1 species